GCUGACACAUCCCGGCCAAUCUCCAGCAGACCCUCCCUCCUAGACCCUCCCACCUCCUGGACAGCAUCCAUGUUGCUGCCUUCAACAUGGAUGCUGUCCAGGAGGUGGGAGGGUCUGGGAGGGAGGGUCUGCUGGAGAUUGGCCGGGAUGUGUCAG